GCAAAAAAGUGGGCUCAGUUCAGAUUGGAGUCUGCAACUCGACUCCAUGAAGCCGGAAUCGCUAGUAAUGGCGGAUCAGCUACGCCGCCGUGAAUACGUUCCCGGGCCUUGUACACACCGCCCGUCAAGCGAUGGGAGCUGAGGGUACCUAAAAUCUUCUAGCAAUAGAGGCCUAAGGUAAAAUCAGUGACUGGCGCUAAGUCGUAACAAGGUAGCCGUACCGGAAGGUGCGGCUGGAUCACCUCCUUU
rnacentral:rRNA from 1 species